ACCAAUACCGUUCUUAUUGUCAGCCCUGUAAUUUCUAAAAACUUUAGGCGGCCUCUUUAACUCAAUAAUUACAUGGUCCGCAGCGGAGUCGACGUUAGCAGUCUUUCGUACUUCAUUAGAACAACAACACAUGCACAUCUAUCCGUCACGGCCAUGGAGCUGACUCUUGUUGUAAAAAACUGAGCGGUUUUUGAAUGUUUUCUUAUCAUCUGUAUAAAAAUUUUAACAAGCCCCGUUAAGCAUUAAUUAACUGGACCACUGACAGUAUUAUUGGAAUAUGGCUGGAGUAUCUCAGAGAUGCGGACACCCUGCUUGACACAUCCGGCACAAUUAAUCAAACGGAUUGUGCGACGGGAAAAUCGUUAUGGAUGUCGUCCUCUACAAAUCCGCGUCGAAAAGGUUGCGCACAUCCUGCAGUCUGCAAAGUUUGGCUAAUUAGAUUUUCCCAGCACCAAUACGUACAGUGGCACUACAGCUUUCCAUCGACACUGCUUGGGAAUUUACGAUAUUCAAAAGCAGCAAAAUGGCUAACGCAUGAUGCAACUCGCGAACGAAAUUAUCCUUAUAAAAAAACAAAUAUAAGAUAAUUAUUAUUAUGAAACACCACAUCAAUCGGAAAGUAAGGUACUGUGCUUAAUACUUCAGAACAUAUACAUGCAACUGCAAUCUAACUAUAAAAUUUAUAAUACAAAGAUAAAUAUCACAACUUGUGAAGCGUAAUACUUGUUCAAGUUUCGCAAUUUACAAUAUUUGCACAAACUAAAAUCGACAGCAACUCGUAAUGUAAAACCGGUUAUCAAAAAACAACCAAUUAGAUUUUUUAAAUGAACAUAAACUGAAUACACUGCCGCAUGGGAUGCUAUCUUUUAAAGACACUAGAUCAACUUUGUACUGACUGCACAAUAUUAUGAUAAAAUAAUCAUGAAAAACCGAAUCUAGAGCCAUUCUAACAAUAAGUAGAGUGUAGCGGUUGCAACAUCCGUUCAUUUAUUCCGUUAAAAUAAAAAUGGUUUUCUGUUGUUGUGCUACUAUCUUCCACAAUGCCGAUGCCCAUCCAAGGAAGGCGUCAGCUAGCCAACAACGGUAAAACAAUUAAAAAAAUAGAAAACUAAACGGGAUAAACUGCCUAUGGCGCAUACGGAAUCCUCUUUUACUGCGGUUGCCGCCAAUAUCAAUAGACAAGGCAAAUCUUCUGAAUAUCAAACAGGAAAUGGGUUUGAAUCAUCCGAUAGAAUCCUGUGAUAAUAUCUAUCAAGUGCUAUAUACUACACAGACUACAGAAAGAUUUAAUUCCAAAUUCUAACCAUAAGGUACAACGACCAUCGUAAACUGGUUGAGUUAUCGCGUCAUCGCAGCCAAAAGUGUGAAUACAUUGCGACUGCGCUCGACUACUAGGUCUGUGAACUCAUGGUCAGCUCGAUCAAAAUUAAAGCAUGCUAAACAAAAUGUAAAAAUUCAUCGAAACUCAAUCUCAAACCUUAUUCAAGUUAACAUACAGUAAAUUCCAUGGUUGCAGACUAGCAGUGCAAUUAAGUCCCACAUGAAAAUACGUAUAUGU